ACGCUCGACACCUACAGGAGGCAGCAGUGGGGAAUAUUGCACAAUGGGGGAAACCCUGAUGCAGCGACGCCGCGUGAGCGAAGAAGUAUCUCGGUAUGUAAAGCUCUAUCAGCAGGGAAGAAGAUGACGGUACCUGACUAAGAAGCACCGGCUAAAUACGUGCCAGCAGGCCGCGGUAAUCUGAGCGGGCUGGCAAGGC
rnacentral:rRNA from 1 species